GGGACCCAACGGAACCCAACAGGACCCCAACGGGACAACGAGGCGUCGCCCAUCACGGGGCACAGAGCUCCGCUGCUGCCCAGGCCUGGCCGUGGCGCUACACAGCACGUGCUGUGAGCAUGGCACUACCGGGCCUCUGUGAAGGCGUCAAGGAAGGUAUAGGUAAAGCAUCACAACCACCAUAGAGCCCUGCAGACACUGCUGCCACCAUCUGAAAGCUCACAGAUACCUGCUGGAAGCAGCAAGCUCACCCUGCACUGUGAUCCUGCAGAUGAACUGAUCUGAUGAGGUUCAUUACUGGCAGUGGGGCUCAGCUGAAAAGCGAAGUUACAUGAUUAAGAGGUUUGAGUCUCUAAUGCACACACUGGAUCGAUGAAUUAUCUUAAUAGCUAUCUUGUGAAAAUGUGACGAUAAGCUUGGCCACACACAGUGA